rnacentral:lncRNA from 1 species
GCUAUUACCCUUUUUGUUUUUUAUUCAAUUAUAUUAUUUAUAGUUCAAAGAAGACUGAAUAUUUUGAACACACCCCAUGUGCGCCUCUAACCUGUUCGGUGAAUUGCCUGAUGGACACAAAUUAAAAGAAAAUAAUGAUAAUAUUAAUAAUAAUAAAGUUCUAGCAUUGAUGGUUACAUUGCAGACCAUUAAAGACAGAUAACAGAUUGCAUUACAUUCAUUCUAGCUAGUAUCCACACCUCAUGCACAACUAAUCACAACCAUUAGGAGUGUGAAUUAAAUGCCAAUAAUAAGCCUUCAUUAUAAGUGCACACACAUUUCUCUUCUAUUCUUUUGAGGUCUCUUUCUUAAUAUACAUUCUAUUGAGGUAUUUUGGGAUCUGGGUUUUAAUUGUUUUUGUUGUUUCUUGAUCUCUAGAAGUAUAUAUAAUUUUUUUAGUAGUUUGUUGAUAAGUUCCUUUCUAAUAAUAAGCCCAGAAACAGUUUAUGUGAUUUCGUGUUAAGGUUGCUUUUGUUUUGUCUGUGUUCUGUUUUUGUUCUUUGUAGCUUCCCUUUUCUCCUCCCUCAUUGUUUGUUGUAGUCAUUCUUGGAACUUUCUUUGACCAAGUUCUUUGUUUCUUUUUCUUUUUUUUAAUCUCUUUUUUGUGUUUCGCAUGCUUAUAUAACAUCCAAAUGUCUAUUCUUUGAUGCUCAUUGGCUGCUCUCUUUAGUUCUUGUUUUAGUUAUGCUAGCAUUGACUAUCUAUCUUACAAUCUCUCUUUGGUCAGUGCUUUAGGAUUGUGUGAUGUAGAAUAGAUUGUUUAGCAACCCACAAAAGUUUUGGGAUUUGUUUUUUCUGUGCCGUGCUUGCUUGAUUCUACCAUUUUUUUCUUGCUUUGAUUGAGCAAUGGAUAGUUCUUUAUUCUAUAUUCUUUUCCUUUUGUCUCUUUUACUCUAUUCCUGUAUAUCCUCUCCUCUUGAAGAUCAAGAGAGAGACAAAAUUACAUAUCUACCUGGACAACCAGCAAAUGUAGAAUUCAAUCAAUAU